AAAGGAGCGAUCCGGUGACGGAUGGGCAUGCGUGACAUUAGCUAGUCGGCGGGGUAACGGCCCACCGAGGCGACGAUGUCUAGGGGUUCUGAGAGGAAGGUCCCCCACACUGGUACUGAGACACGGACCAGACUCCUACGGGAGGCAGCAGUGAGGAAUAUUGGUCAAUGGGCUUACGCCUGAACCAGCCAAGUCGCGUGAGGGAAGACUGCCCUAUGGGUUGUAAACCUCUUUUGUCAGGGAGCAACGCCGGCUACGUGUAGCCGGACUGAGAGUACCUGAAGAAAAAGCAUCGGCUAACUCCGUGCCAGCAGCCGCGGUAAUACGGAGGAUGCGAGCGUUAUCCGGAUUUAUUGGGUUUAAAGGGUGCGUAGGCGGAAUGCCAAGUCAGCGGUAAAAUCGCGGGGCUCAACCUCGCUCCGCCGUUGAAACUGGCGUUCUUGAGUGGGCGAGAAGUAUGCGGAAUGCGUGGUGUUGCGGUGAAAUGCAUAGAUAUCACGCAGAACUCCGAUUGCGAAGGCAGCAUACCGGCGCCCAACUGACGCUGAAGCACGAAAGCGUGGGUAUCGAACAGGAUUAGAUACCCUGGUAGUCCACGCAGUAAACGAUGAAUACUAGCUGUUCGGGGCAAAUGAGCCUUGA
rnacentral:rRNA from 1 species